rnacentral:misc_RNA from 1 species
AACACUGUUAACCUGCGGUACCUGCGGAAGGAUCAUUAUUGAAAUCUAAAUCUAACCAGGAGAGAUUGAGAGGGGGAAACUUCUCUUGUCUUUCUUGGACAACCAACCAACACACAUGACUAGGAAAACAGUGAUGGAUAAUCAGAGAGGAGGAGAGCUGAUUUGGGCCUCUAUGGGGGCAACUCUCUCUCUCGCACUCAGAAGUUCUUGUCUGAUAAGUAGCUUACUGAUUUGGAGUUA